GAGGCUUGGCUGAGUUGGUUAUAGCGACUCCUUCAUGCGGAGGAGUACGUGGGUUCAAGUCCCAUCGGUCGCGCCA
rnacentral:tRNA from 1 species